UUGCUGUGAUGACAAUCUUAGGACACCUUUGGAUUAAUCAUGAAAAGAAAUAUGUGCUGAGCAAC
ensembl:snoRNA SNORD58 Small nucleolar RNA SNORD58